GCAUAAAAUGGCAGCACUUAGAAAACACCGGUUCUCGUCCGAUCACCGAAGUUAAGCAACCACGAGCCUAGUUAGUACUCAGAUAGGUGACCGCUUGGGAAACCUAGGUGCUGUAAACG
rnacentral:rRNA from 1 species